UUAAAGUGUAACCAUAAAUUUUCGCAUCCAACUUUGAUCAUCCGUCUUGUUUAAUUUUUUAAAAAUUAGUAUUUUUAUUGUUAUGAGAUGGUAAAAUAUGAAUAAUAUUUUACUUGUGAUUUAUGUUUUUUAUUUUUUUUUAAAAAAAACAAAUAAGAUAGUUGGACGUGAAAAACUAUAGCGUACUUAGG
rnacentral:pre_miRNA from 1 species